rnacentral:rRNA from 1 species
CCCUUAGAUGUUCUGGGCCGCACGCGUGCUACACUGAGUGGAUCAGCGGGUCAGGUUGCGCGAAAGCGUUUCCUAAUCUUUAAAUCCGCUCGUGAUGGGGAUUGACGGUUGCAAUUUUCUGUCAUGAACGAGGAAUACCUUGUAAGCGCGGGUCAUCAUCCCGCGCCGAAUACGUCCCUGCCCUUUGUACACACCGCCCGUCGCUCCUACCGAUUGAGUGAUCCGGUGAGGCUCUGGGACCUGGACGGAAAGAGCGUUUCGCUUGUUCUGUUUGGGAAACUUGGUCGAACCUUAUCAUUUAGAGGAAGGAGAAGUCGUAACA